rnacentral:lncRNA from 1 species
UAAAUUAAAAUAUAAUAUUUAAAAAUUAUUAAUGAAAUCCUAAACCAAUUCCAAUAAAAUCUUAAUAAAAUUCUAAAUCCUAAAAAAAUCUUAAUCAAAACUUAGAUAAAUUCUAAUCAAAUCUUUAAUCCUAAUCUUAGACCAAAUUUCAAUAAAAUCCUAAAUCUUAAUCAAAUCCUAUCAAAUCCUAAACAAAUUCUAAUCAAACUUAAAAAAAAUCUUAAUCAAAUCCUAAAUCCUAAUUGUAGACCAAAUCCCAAAAAAUUCCAAAAUAAUUUCAAUUAAUUAGUAUAUUUAUUUGAAACCUCAAUAAGUAUUAAUUGAAUUAUAGAUUUUAAUUAAAAUUUCAUCCAAAUAU